UACGGGGGGGGGCAAGCGUUGUUCGGAAUUACUGGGCGUAAAGGCGCACGUGAGCGGCUUUGUAAGUUAGAGGUGAAAGCCCAGGGCUCAACCCUGGAAUUGCCUUUAAGACUGCAUCGCUUGAAUCAUGGAGAGGUGAGUGGAAUUCCGAGUGUAGAGGUGAAAUUCGUAGAUAUUCGGAAGAACACCAGUGGCGAAGGCGACUCACUGGACAUGUAUUGACGCUGAGGUGCGAAAGCGUGGGGAGCAAACAGG
rnacentral:rRNA from 1 species